rnacentral:misc_RNA from 1 species
AUCUUUAUUUAUUAUAUACAUUGUAUAAAUGAUAUGAUUUAAUUUAUAAGAGUGGGUUUUAAAUACAAGUUUUUCGCGAGACCAUGACCAAAGAUCAGAUCCGCUAAAAAUCGGUAAUGAUCCUUCCGCAGGUUCACCUACGGAAA